AAGCCUGGGAGGCAUGGCCAGAUAGCACGGAGAAAAGGGCGUCGGUCUCGGUUUUAUCCUGUCUCGGAGAAAUAUGCGCAGAUCCCCCCUCCAGAGGAAGGGCCAACCAGCACGGAGAAAAGGGCGUAGGUCUCGGUUUUAUCCUGUGAAGCGAAGUAUUUGAUGCAAAAAGUGUCCAUGUGAAACAACAACAGUUUGCUAGUGCGAAGCAACACAAAGGAAGUUAACUCCACCUGCUAGCACCUCGGCCUAGCGCUUCCGUGUCUUCUGUGUCUCAUCCUGACGCUCAAAAGUACCUUUUGCGUCAAAUAACUACGCUACUAUUUUUCCAUGUUUUUGUGUGUAGUGACUAAUUGGCACAACAUUUUUAAAACUGGUCCAGUAUUUAGUGAGCGCGCUGCAGUCACACUGUUAGAAAUUACCAGCAUUUCACAAUAAUUAAAAGUAUUAUUUUACAGUAACUUGUUGUAAAUGAGUUUCCCUGUAAUAUCCCGAUGAAUACCUGUAAAAACUACAGUAUCCUUGGAUUUUACAGCAUUUAACUCUUAUUUUAUAGUAAAAUCUUGCAAUCUAAAACCUGCUGUUAUAUCACAACAAGGUCUGUAAUAUCACAGCAACACAGUGAAAAAAUUAAGGAUUUCACAGCAUUAAACAGUAUUAUUACAGUGUGCCAUGACAUAACUGAACUGUUUUGAACUGAAGGCUCCGUCGUGUCCCUCUUCUAUUCCGGGCUGAAUGGAGAAGGUCAACAAAGGGCGAGGCUAACCAUCCUGUCAGGCUAAGAGUGAGGAGAAUUAGAUUAGGUGUGUCAGGUGGGGCCCAGCAGAUUGGCCAGAGGGGGAGACCGAGGCAACGUUGGAGAAUAUGAAGAGGGAUCUGCUGAACAUCUACUCAGGCAUGCCAUCUUCUCUCUUUUUGGAGGAAGGAAUGAAUGGGGCAGGGAGAGCAGAACCAAUGAUGGAAAAGACAUACGUCAUCCUGCGGAAAUACCUUACCAAAGUGCCUGCUGCAGCGAUGUCUGAGAUCAAACAGGAAUGGCCAUUUCUCUUCUCUCAGAAAUGCUUAUUCUCACACUUUGGCCUCCUGACGGACGUCGAUGUCCUUCAGAAGCUACAGGAGGCAAUUAGUCGACGAGGACAGACCAUCCUGGAUUACUGUGCAAUACUGGACAAGAGCCGAAAGAGAGUUUGAUGCUUGAAGUUGAUCCAUGUGCCACUGCUGUGGACAUCAAUACUGCAGAACUCCCCAGCACCCCCUGCUUGAUCAUUCAAGGUGACAUGAUGAAGCCCUCUGGAUGGCUUAUAUCCAUCGAGGGACAUGUCGUGAUGGGCCCACACCCUAUCUUUUUACACGGAGUAGCUGCUUUCUUCAGCAGCUAUUACGUCUUCAACCUUGAGUAUCCUGCCUCUGGAUCGUCAACGCUGGAAUUCAUUCAAAGGUGCUUCCUGGGCAACAAUCCUGAAAGAGGCUCAAAGACCAAGAAGCGGACAACAAUGAACCCUCAUAGUGUGUGAAGAGGAUCGGAGUAAGGAAGGAGCAAAAACCAGAGACGGCGUCAAACGGAUCUGAAGGUCUGGAGGACCUGGAGGGUAACGACUUGGCUGCCGUUCAUCAUCUGAUUGAUCAGAAAGCACCAUUUUUACCAAAGCUGUGACUGAGCAAACAACAUUAAACCUCCUCAUGGACCAGUAAAGGUUCUACACAUCUCAGGCAGCAAUAAUGACUCUAUCGGGUCCAGAUACUCACUACUGGAAAAGGAACUUUCCAUAGAUCUUCCGAGCCAGUCAACAAUUAGACCUCAACAAAAUCCUGUCAAAUAUUUACACAGGAGAACAUCAGUCAGUUUCUAUGCAUUGAUAAAAUGAAAAGUCCAGACUCCUGGGCCCAAAUAUGCAGGAAUAUUUCACACAUGCCUAAAAAUUGUUAGUGAAGUCAGACUGUUCAAAAUGUGAAAGUGCCCAGAGGAUGAUCUGUUUUCAUGAUCCUCCUACUUUUCCUCUGGCGCCACCAUCAGGUUGACUUUGAGGUUUCAAGUAAAAUACCUCAACAGCUAUUGGAUGGAUUUCCAUGAAACACCAUGCUGACUUGAGCGUUUAGCUCAAAGCACCACUGAGCCUUAAAACAGCUGCGUGGCUUUAGACUGAUACUGAAAGAAAAUAAUAAAAUGCAUUUCCUUCUUUAUUAUGAGGAUUUUUUCAAACAUGUUGGUAAAACUUUAAGUUCCAAUAUUUAACAUUUAUAAGCAGCACAUGCACACUUAAUUCAUGGCUUAUAACACAUAAGUGUUUACAGUUAUAAAAAUGUUUUAAAUGUUUAUUAAGGUGCUGUAUUCGCCAAUAACUAUAACUUCUCCCAAGAAGACGUAUUUUACAUUAUCACAACUGUGUUUUACCAGAUUGUGACUGUUAUUACAAUCAGUCAGUUAUUACAAGCAGUUUAUGAACGUUUAGAGUCAUCAGUGUUUUGUUAGACUCAGAAGAAGUGUUUCCAGCUCCCUCUCAAUGACUGAACAAAUGUAGAGAAACACCUCUGUGAAAUAAAUUCCUCAGUGUUUUCA